rnacentral:misc_RNA from 1 species
UCCGGCUUAACACCGGCAGUCUCGCAUGAGUCCCCAACUAAAUGCUGGUAACAUACGAUAGGGGUUGCGCUCGUUGCUGGACUUAACCAAACAUCUCACGACACGAGCUGACGACAGCCGUGCAGCACCUGUACAUCGUCCGGCCGAACCGAAGGGAAACAUCUCUGUAACCCCCGACGAGUAUGUCAAGUGUAGGUAAGGUUCUUCGCGUUGCUUCGAAUUAAACAACAUGCUCCACCGCUUGUGCGGGUCCCCGUCAAUUCCUUUGAGUUUUAAUCUUGCGACCGUACUCCCCAGGCGGUGUGCUUAAAGCGUUAGCUGCGUCACCGAAUCUGAAAGACCCGACAACUAGCACACAUCGUUUACAGCGUGGACUAC